rnacentral:rRNA from 1 species
GACGAGCGCUGGCGGCGUGCCUAAUACAUGCAAGUAGAACGCUGAAGAGAGGAGCUUGCUCUUCUUGGAUGAGUUGCGAACGGGUGAGUAACGCGUAGGUAACCUGCCUUGUAGCGGGGGAUAACUAUUGGAAACGAUAGCUAAUACCGCAUAACAAUGGAUGACACAUGUCAUUUAUUUGAAAGGGGCAAUUGCUCCACUACAAGAUGGACCUGCGUUGUGUUAGCUAGUAGGUGAGGUAACGGCUCACCUAGGCGACGAUACAUAGCCGACCUGAGAGGGUGAUCGGCCACACUGGGACUGAGACACGGCCCAGACUCCUACGGGAGGCAGCAGUAGGGAAUCUUCGGCAAUGGGGGCAACCCUGACCGAGCAACGCCGCGUGAGCGAAGAAGGUUUUCGGAUCGUAAAGCUCUGUUGUAAGUCAAGAACGAGUGUGAGAGUGGAAAAUUCACACUGUGACGGUAGCUUACCAGAAAGGGACGGCUAACUACGUGCCAGCAGCCGCGGUAAUACGUAGGUCCCGAGCGUUGUCCGGAUUUAUUGGGCGUAAAGCGAGCGCAGGCGGUUUGAUAAGUCUGAAGUUAAAGGCUGUGGCUCAACCAUAGUUCGCUUUGGAAACUGUCAAACUUGAGUGCAGAAGGGGAGAGUGGAAUUCCAUGUGUAGCGGUGAAAUGCGUAGAUAUAUGGAGGAACACCGGUGGCGAAAGCGGCUCUCUGGUCUGUAACUGACGCUGAGGCUCGAAAGCGUGGGGAGCGAACAGGAUUAGAUACCCUGGUAGUCCACGCCGUAAACGAUGAGUGCUAGGUGUUGGAUCCUUUCCGGGAUUCAGUGCCGCAGCUAACGCAUUAAGCACUCCGCCUGGGGAGUACGACCGCAAGGUUGAAACUCAAAGGAAUUGACGGGGGCCCGCACAAGCGGUGGAGCAUGUGGUUUAAUUCGAAGCAACGCGAAGAACCUUACCAGGUCUUGACAUCCCGAUGCUAUUUCUAGAGAUAGAAAGUUACUUCGGUACAUCGGUGACAGGUGGUGCAUGGUUGUCGUCAGCUCGUGUCGUGAGAUGUUGGGUUAAGUCCCGCAACGAGCGCAACCCCUAUUGUUAGUUGCCAUCAUUCAGUUGGGCACUCUAGCGAGACUGCCGGUAAUAAACCGGAGGAAGGUGGGGAUGACGUCAAAUCAUCAUGCCCCUUAUGACCUGGGCUACACACGUGCUACAAUGGUUGGUACAACGAGUUGCGAGUCGGUGACGGCAAGCUAAUCUCUUAAAGCCAAUCUCAGUUCGGAUUGUAGGCUGCAACUCGCCUACAUGAAGUCGGAAUCGCUAGUAAUCGCGGAUCAGCACGCCGCGGUGAAUACGUUCCCGGGCCU